AUGGAGACUUGCGCAUCCUGUGAGGGGUCCCCAGGGGGGUGGGGGGACAGGCUUCUGUCACCCAACAGCAGUGGGUGAGGCUCCCUGUUGACACUGGUCAUUUUGACUCUCCUCAUAGCAUGGAGGCCGUGAAGAUGGCGGUGGGCUGUCAUCCAGGAGUGACGUGCACUUGUGAUUUCCCUGUGCCCGCCUUGGGGGUUGCGGUCACCCCACUCCUUCCCUGGCUCCAGGACCCCACGUAGAAGUCACGGACCAGUCACUUCAUAAACGUUAACAAUGACAGAUCACCAGUGCCAGCAACACCACAGUCACAUGAUGACGGUCAUUACCCAAGGGCGGCUCCAUGGGCCAAGCAGCAGGAGCUGCCACCUAGCCAAGGCAGGACAGGUGCCUGAGCAAGAGCCCGGGGACGAGGGGGCUUGGCCAUGCCAGGGAGGGUCCCUGUCCUCCACCCUCGGGGACAGACGGGGAGCAGGCAGGGGAACGGCCACCAAGGUCCCUAUGCAGGUUUCCUGAGCCGCCAUGUCAAGUCCCCGUGCACUGGGCAGCUCACGCCGGCAGAACCCAUUCUCAGGACCUGAGGCCCCGGUGUGGGCUGGGGUGGUGCUGCCGAGGCCCGGAGGGAGGAUCGAGCCCUUUCCCAGCCUCUCUCCGGGUUUCAGGAGGCUGCUGACAUCUUGGAGACCUGGGCUUGAAGAGUGUCACUUCUCCUCUGCUUCCGUCCUCAUGUGGCCUGCUUUCCUGGGUCUCUGUGUCCUUUCUUCCUGUGAGGAUGCCAGUCAUUGGGCCAAGGGCCACGAAAUCCUUUAUGGACUCAGCUUGAUGACAUCCACAAAGACCCUGUUUUCAAAUAAAGCCACAUCCUGGGA